GUGGUUGUCAUUCAUGUACACACCAUGCCUUGCCGAAUCAGCUUUGAGCUCCCUGAAACAGAUAAGGAAACUAAAUGUCAGAGAGUUCAAUAAUUUUCCCAAGAUCACGAAGCCAAUAAGUGAUGGAGUCAUGACUUAAAUUCAGGUCUUUUGAUGACACAACCCAGACUAAUUGGGAAAGAGCUUCACGGGUGCAUACCCUAGAAGAAAAAAGACUGUAAUUCAACUCUUCAGCAGCCAGGAUUGCCUGUCUCCAACCCCUUCUGAAUCUAGUUAUGUUGGAUACUGGGAGAGAAGCAUGUAGACUCUUUGGGCCUGACCUUUCUGAUUUUUCUCUAGAAGGGCUUCACUGAAGGGGCACAGAAGAAUAAUGUUUCUACAGCAUAGAUCCAGGGGCUCCUCCCCACCAGGAACCCAGCUUAGCAGGCAGGCUCUUCAUGUGGAACUCGCCAAAACCCCAUGCAGGUGGAUGUGCGGAAACACCAAAGAACUACACAAUUGUCCCUGCCUUUGGAAAGUCUCAUUCCCUGUCAUUCCUUCAUUCAGUCAACAAAUGUGGAGCACCCAGUGUGUGCUACGUUUUGAGGAUAAAGUGAUGAACAACACAGACAAGAUCCCUGCCCUUGUGGAGUCUAUAUUCAAACCAGAGCUUGACCUUCAAACUGAGAGACCAACUUAACAAAGGGGCCAUCUGGCCACUAACUGUUAUACACCCUCGGCUUGGGACACAUGGCCUCAGCCUUCCUCCACCUUCAAGUCUAAUAGGAGAGAGAUUUCAGAGUGGCCCAAACAAUCUAAAGUAAAAGUGAACAGAGUUCAAAAUAAGUCCACAAGGGCUGAGGGGAGACCAAGGAGAAGAUAAUGCAGUGAGGGCAGUGAGAGAGGGAUUCCUAGAGGAAUUGCACCUUGCUUUGAAUUUUAGCCCUAAGCUGCAAAUCCUAGCUAACUUCUAAGUAGAUGCUGACAGCUGGCUUCUAUUUGGCCCGCCAUAUUGAAUGACUGUCCCCAGGACAUGGUGGAGAUUUAGACAACCCAGGGCAGAAAAUCCUCUAAGAAAGGAAGUCUGAACUACACCACUGGCUUUCUGAAUGGACAGGAUUUGAGGAGCUGGGAUGGUAGUAGGGGAGAGGGCAGCUGGGUGGGGUUUCUUCCAGGAAACAAUGUGGAUGCAAGAUGCAGUCCUCAUCUCUGGCCUGCCCUUACCACUUUAGUAUUUCAGAUGAGUCAGCUCUCACUUUGCCACCUGCUUUCUGUAACUCUGCAGCAUGCCAGCAGCCUCCAGUCCACCCUCUCCUCCUCGCAGGGCUCUGGGGUGAAGCCCUCCCCGGGAACUCCCUGGCUCCCAGUACCCAUGGGAGAAGCUCUUUUCAACUGACAUGAUUUAUUUUAACAAUAAGGGAAAAAAACCACAUCUGAUUUCCACAGAAUUAGAGUUCCUCCUGACACGCCUGGACUUGCCAGUUGGGAAGGACACUCUCAAGGCAUCCUCUAUGCCAUUUGCCGUUCUGCUGUUCCUUUGCUUGGAGGGAAGAGAUACCUGUUUCUAUAGGGAGGAAGUUUGAAGUGAGAAGAGAAGAUAAAGAUUCUGUGAAUGGAAAGAGCACUGGACUGAGAGUUCAGGGAUGUGGCCUCCGGUCCCAGCUCCACCACUACUCAGUUGUCUGACGAAGAAAACAAAAAGUUGUGAUACAAUGUGGGUGACACAUUGCCUAGAAAGAAGUGCCAUUGUGAUACAUUUAUGUUGGUGGGAUGGGGGAAAGAAAUAACAGGUUUGUAUGGAGUGUUAUGAAAGAAUUAAAUCUUAACCUUCCAUUGGGGUAAGCUGAUGGAAACAACCAUAGCAAAGCACAGACUGAAUAUUUUUUUAUUCAGUCAGUAUUUUUUAUACAGUAAAAAAAAGUAUUGACAUAGGAGAAGGAAACAAAAAGUUGUCAGGAGUUAAUGAAUAGAAAUAUAGAAAUAUUGUUUUUUUUCUGGAUUUUAUGGUGUUUGUGCUAUUUGUUAGCUUUUAUGAAUUUGUAAUUUGUUGUAAUUUCUCUUUCUAAAUAAGUAUUUACUUUUUUCUCUAAUUUUGUCCAUCUGUUUUUGAAUUCAAUUUUCAAAUUCAAAAUGCUUCUCUCUGGGCCUCAGCUGUUUCCUCAUCUGUAAAUGAGAAGGCUGGGCCAGAUGCUCUUUCAUGUCUGGUGUAAUGAAGCCCUGGAGUGGGCUGCCUAUGACUGCACCCAGCUCUACCACACCCCACCUGGGUGUCUUUGGGUGAGGUACUUAGUAGCUCCAAGUCUCAUCUUCCUCAUCCAAAAUGAUGGGCACAAAAAUAGUAUUGACCUCAUGGAAUAGGUGUGAAGAUGAAAAGAGACAAUGCAUAUAGAUGCUUCACACAGACCCUGGGGCGGCAAAUGUGCUCAGUACUUGUUAGCUAUUAGUGUGAGUCUACUCUUUUAGUCUAUGAAUUUUGUUAGAGAAACUCCUGCUUACCAGGCCUCUGGUUUAAUAAAACAUGACUGGAGUGACUCCAUCCUGAAGUGAGUAGGCUAGGCACUCACAAGUCACCUAUAGAGUUAAUGCUUUAUGGUCUGAAAAUAGCCACAUUCUAAGCUCACCACCACUUAUAAUUACAGAAGAUUGAUGGCCAUAUAGGACAUCUCCCACCAACCCUGCAGAAUGUCCAGAUGUCCCAAGUACAGCCCACUUUACUCAGAGAUAACGUCAAUGAGCAGACUCAAGUUGAAGGAUUAAUGGUCACUAGAGCACCAACAGCCCCUACCUUUAGUGAGCACAUCUGCACAUUCCAAGUUUAAUCAUAGGUCCUUAUAGUUUCUUACAAGCAGAGAUGUUCCUAAAGGACAGGGGUUCCUCCUCCUGCUUUCUGGGCAUGCCCUACUCUCUAAUGGAGUAGUUUCCAAUAAAUUUGCUUCUUUGUCUGUGCUCCAAUUCUUUCCUGUGUGAGAUCUAAGAACCCACUCUUGGGGUCUAGAUUGGGAUCCUCUUUUCUGGCAACAUCUUGAGUAUGUGACCAUGAGAAAUGUUAGAAAUUGGAGUGAAAGGUACAUAAACAUUUGAACCCAAUACCAUUCUCUGGUUCUCCCAGAGACACAAGGCUAAGGAGAGUAGGACUCUGCCUUCUCCCAAAGCUGAUACCUCCCUGGGCCAAUGUGGGUGACACGUUGUCUAGAAAGAGGUGUCAUUGUGAUAUGUUUAUGUUGGUGGGAUGGGGGAAAGAAAUAACAGGUUUGUAUGGAGUGUUAUGAAAGAAUUAAAUCUUAACUUUCCAUUGGGGUAAGCUGAUGGAAACAACCAUAGCAAAGGACAGACUGAAUAUCUUUUUAUUCUCUCUAUAGAAAAUAACAGUAAAAAAAGUAUUGACAUAGAAGAAGGAAACAAAAAGUUGUCAGGAGUUAAUGAAUAAAGAUGUAUUUUUUUCUGGAUUUUGUGGUGUUUGUGGUAUUUGUUAGCUUUUAUGAAUUUGUAAUUUGUUGUAAUUUCUCUUUCUAAAUAAACAUUUACUUUUGUCCCUAAUUUUGUACUUCUAUUUUUGAAUUCAAUUUUUUUUCCGCAGACAGGGUCUCACUCUGUUGCCCAGGCUGGAGUGCAAUGGUGCAAUUAUAGCAGACUGCAGUCUUCAACUCCUGACCUCAAGCAAUUGUCCUGCCUCCUCAACUUCCUGACUACAG